UACGUAGGUGGCAAGCGUUGUCCGGAUUUAUUGGGUUUAAAGGGUGCGUAGGCGGUCUAUUAAGUCAGUGGUGAAAUACUCCAGCUCAACUGGAGGGGUGCCAUUGAUACUGAUGGACUUGAGUCAAGUCGAGGUAGGCGGAAUUGACGGUGUAGCGGUGAAAUGCUUAGAUAUCGUCAAGAACACCAAUAGUGAAGACAGCUUACUAGGCUUAAACUGACGCUGAGGCACGAAAGUGUGGGGAUCAAACAGG
rnacentral:rRNA from 1 species